GUGCCAGCCGCCGCGGUACUACCGGCAGCUCGAGUGAUGUCCAAUAUUAUUGGGCCUAAAGCGUCCGUAGCUGGCCGCGCAAGUCCGUCGGGAAAUCCACCUGCCCAACAGGUGGGCGUCCGGCGGAAACUGUGUGGCUUGGAACCGGAAGGCUCAGAGGGUACGUCCGGGGUAGGAGUGAAAUCCCGUAAUCCCGGACGGACCACCGAUGGCGAAAGCACUUCGAGAAAACGGAUCCGACAGUGAGGGACGAAAGCCAGGGUCUCGAACCGGAUUAGAUACCCGGGUGUCC
rnacentral:rRNA from 1 species